rnacentral:rRNA from 1 species
UACGAAGGGGGCUAGCGUUGCUCGGAAUCACUGGGCGUAAAGCGCACGUAGGCGGAUUGUUAAGUCAGGGGUGAAAUCCUGGAGCUCAACUCCAGAACUGCCUUUGAUACUGGCGAUCUUGAGUCCGGGAGAGGUGAGUGGAACUCCGAGUGUAGAGGUGAAAUUCGUAGAUAUUCGGAAGAACACCAGUGGCGAAGGCGGCUCACUGGCCCGGUACUGACGCUGAGGAGCGAAAGUGUGGGGAGCGAACAGGA